rnacentral:rRNA from 1 species
CAGGCCUAACACAUGCAAGUCGAACGGCUCUUUCGGGUGUCAGUGGCAGACGGGUGAGUAACACGUGGGAACGUGCCUUUCGGUUCGGAAUAACUCAGGGAAACUUGAGCUAAUACCGGAUACGCCCUUACGGGGAAAGGUUUACCGCCGAAGGAUCGGCCCGCGUCUGAUUAGCUAGUUGGUGAGGUAAUGGCUCACCAAGGCGACGAUCAGUAGCUGGUCUGAGAGGAUGAUCAGCCACACUGGGACUGAGACACGGCCCAGACUCCUACGGGAGGCAGCAGUGGGGAAUAUUGGACAAUGGGCGAAAGCCUGAUCCAGCCAUGCCGCGUGAGUGAUGAAGGCCUUAGGGUUGUAAAGCUCUUUUACCCGGGAAGAUAAUGACUGUACCGGGAGAAUAAGCUCCGGCUAACUCCGUGCCAGCAGCCGCGGUAAU